CGGACGGGUGAGUAAUGUCUGGGAAACUGCCGAUGGAGGGGGAUAACUACUGGAAACGGUAGCUAAUACCGCAUAACGUCGCAAGACCAAGAGGGGGACCUUCGGGCCUCUUGCCAUCGGAUGUGCCCAGAUGGGAUUAGCUAGUAGGUGGGGUAACGGCUCACCUAGGCGACGAUCCCUAGCUGGUCUGAGAGGAUGACCAGCCACACUGGAACUGAGACACGGUCCAG
rnacentral:rRNA from 1 species